GCUCUCGUAGCUCAGUUGGUAGAGCGCGGCACUAGUAAUGCCGAGGUCUACGGUUCAAAUCCGUACGGGAGCA
rfam:Pseudogymnoascus pannorum VKM F-4516 (FW-969) contig_1099, whole genome shotgun sequence.